CCUACGGGAGGCAGCAGUGAGGAAUAUUGGUCAAUGGGCGGGAGCCUGAACCAGCCAAGUCGCGUGAAGGAAGAAGGUACUUAGUAUUGUAAACUUCUUUUGUCGGGGAACAAAGGCGGAGACGCGUCUCCGGAUGAGUGUACCCGAAGAAAAAGCAUCGGCUAACUCCGUGCCAGCAGCCGCGGUAAUACGGAGGAUGCGAGCGUUAUCCGGAUUUAUUGGGUUUAAAGGGUGCGCAGGCGGGAGAUCAAGUCAGUUGUGAAAGUUUGCGGCUCAACCGUAAAAAUGCAAUUGAUAGUGGCAGCCUUGAGUACAGUUGAGGUAGGCGGAAUUCGUGGUGUAGCGGUGAAAUGCUUAGAUAUCACGAAGAACUCCGAUUGCGAAGGCAGCUUACUAAACUGCCACUGACAUUGAUGCUCGAAAGUGUGGGUAUCAAACAGGAUUAGAUACCCGGGUAGUC
rnacentral:rRNA from 1 species